UACGGAGGGGGCUAGCAUUGUUCGGAAUUACUGGGCGUAAAGCGCACGUAGGCGGCGAUUUAAGUCAGAGGUGAAAGCCCGGGGCUCAACCCCGGAACUGCCUUUGAGACUGGAUUGCUUGAACAUCGGAGAGGUGAGUGGAAUUCCGAGUGUAGAGGUGAAAUUCGUAGAUAUUCGGAAGAACACCAGUGGCGAAGGCGGCUCACUGGACGAUUGUUGACGCUGAGGUGCGAAAGCGUGGGGAGCAAACAGG
rnacentral:rRNA from 1 species